rnacentral:lncRNA from 1 species
AUGCCACCUUUUGAGGUUCAUUUAUUGGGUAUAUUUGUCAUUGUGGGUUUUUGUGAGUUUUUAUGAGUUUUUCAGUCCUUGAGCCACUCUUGUUAUGCAUUUGGAGUGUCGAGAGUUCAUAUGAGAGUUCUAUGAGAUCCUAUGCUUUUUGGAUCAUGUUUGAUAUAUACUAGGUAUGAGAGAUGAUUAAUCUUUUUACUAAGGUCUCCGGAUCAUUGC